UGCAGUCGAACGAUGAUGCCCAGCUUGCUGGGUGGAUUAGUGGCGAACGGGUGAGUAACACGUGAGUAACCUGCCCCUGACUCUGGGAUAAGCGUUGGAAACGACGUCUAAUACUGGAUAUGAUCACUGGCCGCAUGGUCUGGUGGUGGAAAGAUUUUUUGGUUGGGGAUGGACUCGCGGCCUAUCAGCUUGUUGGUGAGGUAAUGGCUCACCAAGGCGACGACGGGUAGCCGGCCUGAGAGGGUGACCGGCCACACUGGGACUGAGACACGGCCCAGACUCCUACGGGAGGCAGCAGUGGGGAAUAUUGCACAAUGGGCGAAAGCCUGAUGCAGCAACGCCGCGUGAGGGAUGACGGCCUUCGGGUUGUAAACCUCUUUUAGUAGGGAAGAAGCGAAAGUGACGGUACCUGCAGAAAAAGCACCGGCUAACUACGUGCCAGCAGCCGCGGUAAUACGUAGGGUGCAAGCGUUGUCCGGAAUUAUUGGGCGUAAAGAGCUCGUAGGCGGUUUGUCGCGUCUGCUGUGAAAUCCCGAGGCUCAACCUCGGGCUUGCAGUGGGUACGGGCAGACUAGAGUGCGGUAGGGGAGAUUGGAAUUCCUGGUGUAGCGGUGGAAUGCGCAGAUAUCAGGAGGAACACCGAUGGCGAAAGCAGAUCUCUGGGCCGUAACUGACGCUGAGGAGCGAAAGCAUGGGGAGCGAACAGGAUUAGAUACCCUGGU
rnacentral:rRNA from 1 species